rnacentral:rRNA from 1 species
AAGCAUCGGCUAACUCCGUGCCAGCAGCCGCGGUAAUACGGGGGAUCCGAGCGUUAUCCGGAUUUAUUGGGUUUAAAGGGCGCGUAGGCGGGACGUCAAGUCAGCGGUAAAAGACUGCAGCUAAACUGUAGCACGCCGUUGAAACUGGCGCCCUGGAGACGAGACGAGGGAGGCGGAACAAGUGGAGUAGCGGUGAAAUGCAUAGAUAUCACUUGGAACCCCGAUAGCGAAGGCAGCUUCCCAGGCUCGAUCUGACGCUGAUGCGCGAAAGCGUGGGUAUCAAACAGGAUUAGAUACCCUGGUAGUCCACGCAGUAAACGAUGAUCACUGGAUCUUGGCGAUACACUGCCAGGGUUCAAGCGAAAGUAUUAAGUGAGCCACCUGGGGAGUACGUCGGCAACGAUGAAACUCAAAGGAAUUGACGGGGGCCCGCACAAGCGGAGGAACAUGUGGUUUAAUUCGAUGAUACGCGAGGAACCUUACCCGGGUUUAAAUGUAGAUUGCAUGAGGUGGAAACACUUCUUCCCUUCGGGGCUAUUUACAAGGUGCUGCAUGGUUGUCGUCAGCUCGUGCCGUGAGGUGUCGGGUUAAGUCCCAUAACGAGCGCAACCCCUAUCGCCAGUUGCCAUCGGUUGAAGCCGGGCACUCUGUCGAGACUGCCACCGUAAGAUGCGAGGAAGGCGGGGAUGACGUCAAAUCAGCACGGCCC